AGUGAACGCUGGCGGAAUGCUUUACACAUGCAAGUCGAACGGUAGAGGGGCAACCCUUGAGAGUGGCGAACGGGUGAGUAAUGUAUCGGAACAUGCCCAGUCGUGGGGGAUAACGUAGCGAAAGUUACGCUAAUACCGCAUACGAUCUAUGGAUGAAAGCGGGGGAUCGCAAGACCUCGCGCGAGUGGAGUGGCCGAUAUCAGAUUAGGUAGUUGGUGGGGUAAAGGCCUACCAAGCCGACGAUCUGUAGCUGGUCUGAGAGGACGACCAGCCAGACUGGGACUGAGAAACGGCCCAGACUCCUACGGGAGGCAGCAGUGGGGAAUUUUGGACAAGGGGCGCAAGCCUGAACCAGCCUUUCCGCGUGCGGGAAGAAGGCCUUCGGGUUGUAAACUGCUUUUGUACGGAACGAAACGCGCUGAGCAAAUACCUCGGCGUGAUGACGGUACCGUAAGAAUAAGCACCGGCUAACUACGUGCCAGCCGCCGCAGUAA
rnacentral:rRNA from 1 species